GGGCGCUUGGCUCAGUGGUAGAGCGCUGCCUUCACACGGCAGAGGUCACAGGUUCGAACCCUGUAGCGCCCACCA
rnacentral:tRNA from 1 species